GCCAAUCAUGUAUGUGGGCUCCAGAAAUUCAAAUUUUCAAAUCAGGGCCUGCACGGUUUCCCAGCCAAUCAUAUAUGUGUCCUGAGGCAUUCAAAUUUGCAUAUUGGGGCCUUCAUGGCUUCUAAGCCAGCCAAUCAUAUCUGAGGGCUGAGGAAUUCAAAUCCACAAAUCAGGGCCUGCACAGCUUCCCAGCCAGCCAAUCAUGUAUGUGGGCUCCAGGUAUUCAAAUUUGCAUAUUGGGGAAUUCGUGGCUUCUAAGUCAACAAGUCAUCCAUGUCAUAUAUCUCUAAAAAUUCAUAUUUUAAUGAAAAAUUGUCAACACUUGAAGAUUCUCCCAUCUCUUCUGAACAAAACGGUGUAAGAAUGACCGCUCUAGCCCCUAUGGUUAGGAAAUUAUGGUCAUUUGUUUGAGGGGAAUCCUCACUAUGUGAAAUAAACUGAAAGAAGCAGGUCUAUGUCUCAGUGCUGCGUGUGUAAAAAGAUGCACCUUUUUUGGCGGGAAAACGUAAACAGCCUCUCUGAUUGGUGGAUUCAAAUUCAGCAGCUCCCAGGCUGACCUAGAAACUUACUUCUCUCUCCCUGUGUGUGUGUGUGUGUGUGUGUGUGUGUGUGUGUGUGUGUGUGUGUGUGUGUGUGUGUGUGUGUGUGUGUGUGUGUGUGUGUGUGUGUGUGUGUGUGUGUGUUUAGUGGGAGAGAGAGGACCCUGCCCUUAUUUGACAGCAUGUCAUUGUAGGAUUUAAAUUGAACAUAGUUAGACUGGUUGACUGGAUUAGAGCCUGUGUUUGUGUGUCCCUCUGUGCAUUUGUGUUUCAAUAAGUUAUUACUAUUCUGCUAAAUCAUAGUAUUUCUGGUACUUUUCGGUACUUGUGCUAAAUACAGUAUUUCUGCUUUUCAUAGGAUUUAUGCCUAAUAUAGUAUUUCUGCUAAAUUAUAGUAUUUCUGCUUUUUAUAGGAUUUGUGCUUAACAUAGUAUUUCUGCUAAAUUAUAGUAUUUCUGCUUUUUAUACUAUUUGUUCUAAAUUAUAGUAUUUCUGCUUUUUAUAGGAUUUGUGCUUAAUAUAGUAUUUCUGCUAAAUUAUAGUUUUUCUUCUUUUUAUAAUAUUUGUGCUAAAACAUAGUAUUUCUACUAAAUGUAGUAUUUAUGCUUAAUAAUAGUAUUUCUAUAUAUUUCUGCCAGGUCCCCAGGCAGCCAAUCCUCUGUGAGGACUGAGACAUUCAAAUUUUCAAAUCAGGGCCUGCACAGUUUCCCAGCCAAUCAAAUAAGUGUCCUGAGGCAUUCAAAUUUGCAUAUUGGGGCCUUCGUGGCUUCUAAGCCAGCCA
ensembl:lncRNA